GGAUCGCGAACUCGAGUGGCAGAGUCCCGGACUCUUAAUCCGGCAAGUCGGCGUUCGAGCCGCCGGCGAUCCACCA
rnacentral:tRNA from 1 species